rnacentral:tRNA from 1 species
GGUAGCAUGGCAUAGUGGUCUGAGUGUUGGACUACAACUCUGGACAUCAGGGUUCGAUUCCCCUCUCGGCCA